rnacentral:tRNA from 1 species
GCAUUGGUGGGUCAGUGGUAAAACCCUCACCUUCCAUGUGGGAGAUGCGGGUUCAAUUCCCAACCACUGCA